rnacentral:rRNA from 1 species
AUGCAAGUCGAACGGCAGCACGGGUGCUUGCACCUGGUGGCGAGUGGCGAACGGGUGAGUAAUACAUCGGAACGUACCUUAUCGUGGGGGAUAACGCAGCGAAAGCUGUGCUAAUACCGCAUACGCCCUGAGGGGGAAAGCGGGGGAUCGAAAGACCUCGCGCGAUUAGAGCGGCCGAUGCCUGAUUAGCUUGUUGGUGGGGUAAAAGCCCACCAAGGCGACGAUCAGUAGCUGGUCUGAGAGGACGAUCAGCCACACUGGGACUGAGACACGGCCCAGACUCCUACGGGAGGCAGCAGUGGGGAAUUUUGGACAAUGGGGGAAACCCUGAUCCAGCAAUGCCGCGUGAGUGAAGAAGGCCUUCGGGUUGUAAAGCUCUUUUGUCAGGGAAGAAACACCGGCUCUAACACAGUCCGGGAAUGACGGUACCUGAAGAAUAAGCACCGGCUAACUACGUGCCAGCAGCCGCGGUAAUACGUAGGGUGCGAGCGUUAAUCGGAAUUACUGGGCGUAAAGCGUGCGCAGGCGGUUAUACAAGACAGGCGUGAAAUCCCCGGGCUUAACCUGGGAAUGGCGCCUCUGACUGUAUAGCUAGAGUGUGUCAGAGGGGGGUAGAAUUCCACGUGUAGCAGUGAAAUGCGUAGAUAUGUGGAGGAAUACCAAUGGCGAAGGCAGCCCCCUGGGAUAACACUGACGCUCAUGCACGAAAGCGUGGGGAGCAAACAGGAUUAGAUACCCUGAUAGUCCACGCCCUAAACGAUGCUGACUAGUUGUUCGGGAUU